ensembl:lncRNA
UCAACACUUACAAAACUAAAAUAUUGACAUAAGCUGCUUUCACAAACUUGUAUUCCCCAGGGGCAAUAAUCAGGCCUCAUUUGCUGCUUUUCUGUCAUCUUGUGCAGGGUUAUACUCAUAUCUCUGAAACUGUUUUUUGUCUCUGCAAAAUAAAUGAGUGAUGCUACACUAGGUUCCCUCUGAAUCAAGAUGACUGUUUGCAUUAACAUAUUUAGAAGAAACUAAUUUCCUGUAACGAAGAGCACACAGGAGAGAAAUCCAGUUACCAUCAUUUGUGGUUAUCUUUGACAUCUUAGACAAAAUGAUCUGACCAUUUUCAGCUAAGUCAGCUAAGGACAUACUUCAACAUCAGAUUAGAAUUCAUACAGUGACAUCCAUACUGAGACACAGUAAUAGCUCUACAUUUGAGUGUGAAGUUUUAUUUUUUGAAUGAUGUUGAUAUAUAUUGUGCCCUCUCUCCUGCUUACCAUUCUUACAGUCUGAGCUCUUUUACUGGCACCAAGCAUCUUCAGAAACCAGAUUAAAUAGGAUUUAGCCCAGAAUCACUGGCAUCACUUCUUCAAAUACUUAGGCUUCACAGUCAUAAAAUAGCAACUACUCCUUGGAUUAUGGCAGCACGGUCUUGAUCCCAUGUAAUCUUACCACAUGCAUUGAAGGGUUCUAAUUUUCAGCAACAAUCAGACCCCUGUUUGUAUUUAUGUGGUGUGUUGACAUUUCAAAUGUCCUGCAAAUACUUUUCCAUUGAUUUGGACAGAAUGGGUUACAAUUUAGAAAACUGAGCAUUUGAAAAUCUAUUGGAGAAUGGCAUUAUUGCAACUUUCACAUAGAAUGGGGAUAGACAUCAGUAUUACACAUUGCCUUUCGCAUUUGUGUAAGAUGAAAUACAGACUUUUAAAAAGCAUUCAGUUUUUAUUCAUCCCAUUGAACAUAAUAGUAAAUACCAGAAGAUUCUGAAAGCAGCAGAAUUAGGUCAGCGCUGAGCACCUUUGGAAAUCCUUACUAAAUCAGUAGCUCAGCCUCUACGCUGUUAAAGAACGUCAGCAUCAAAUUUCAAAGUUGAAGAUGUGGCUUUUUUACUCUUUAGGAAAGAGCUACAUACAGAAAUGACUGUUGAAAUGGAAUAAAAAUCAGCUGUACAUUUGUGAUUUUUUUCUGCUGCUAUGUCCCUCUUUUUCAUUUCCUAUCAGUUGAGACACAAUUGUUAAUAGCUGAACAGUCAGUGAGUUCACUUUAUUAACAGUUUAAACAUAAUGAGAAGCCAAUACAUUUAAUGUUCAACUUCUUUAAACUUAAAGUGAACAUUUUGCUCACUUAAUUAGGUAAACUACAAUGUUUUUCUCUUAGUGGUUCCUCUAUUUAAUGUGAAAGUAAUAAAAGCACCAUAGGGUGCACUGUAUUUAAAAAAAAUGCAUUACUGUAUAUAUUUUCCUAUGAAUUCUAAUUUGUGUAUAAUUUUUCUCACCUUUUCUAGUAUUAUUCAAGAUUUCUUCACUGUAAAAUAAGUGAUCCCUAAUAAAACCCUUUUAAAAGCUACUGCACUCAGUCUGUAACUAAUUAAUUAUCAACAUAAUCUGCUCUUGUGACAGUUAUUAUUUAUCAAAGCUUUAUAAUGCAAAUCACAGCAUUUACAUUUCUAUUCAAGUGAUGUCUACAUUUAAAAUCUCAUGCAGGAUACUGCCUUACAAUAAAUCCAUGACUUCCUGUUUUUUGUUUUUUACUCUCUCCUCUACACUUCUCAUUUUCUUUUAAAAAACAACAAAACAUUGAUAAUUUGGCUGAAGCCAUUCUCUUCUUCAUGGCAUUUUCAUCUGCUAGUAAUAGUCUCAUUGCAGACUGACUAGACCAAGCUAUUGAACGUAAAGCUAGACAGCAUUUCACUAUAUAUGAAAUGAAGAAAGAUCAUGCUGGGACAGUCACCUUCAACAUCAUGCAUUCAGUCUAAAUUUACAGUAAUAGACUCAUACUCAGAGAAUGCUUGCUGUGUUUGUUUGCAAACUAGUAUGCAGUACUUACAAGUCUGUGGUUUUAUUGACAUAUUCCUUUCCUUUCCUGUGGUUUUUAAUUGAAACCCCCACUGCUCAGCCUAGCUCCUGGAAGUCAGAGAACAGAAGUUCUGCGUUUAGUUUAGCAUUUAGACAAGAUGAACACAUACAGGAGAGUUCUGCUGCCUGAUUAUGAAAUACAUAGUUCAGAGUUGUUGGGAGGUUUGUUUUGAUUAAG